rnacentral:sRNA from 1 species
GGACCCGAUUCGUGCCAAGAUGAACCGAGAGAUUUCCAUAAUUAUACAAUAACUUUCUUACUUUAAUAUUUGUUUUCCAUUAACUUAUUUUAUGUGGUUUUAAACGAAACCUCUUUUUUUUUUUUGGAUAUUUCAGGCCAACUUCAAGUGGAAUGAGCGGGACAAAGCUUUUUUUUUGCUUACACAGACUGGGUGUAGAGCGGUUGAUAUAAGGAGUGGAGAUACAAGCUACAAGAGUGUUACGAAAGUUUUCCUAUGCCUGAAGUAACUCUUACAGAAUAGAACCACCCCAAGAGUUUGUGAAGAUAGUUGCUGAGUGGCAGUGGUUGUGCACUAAUUUUUAGCGUAAAAAAUAUCAGAUUGGCGGCACAUAUAGGUAACUAGGAGAAGAAGUCGUACUUUCACCACUUCGUUCUCGACACCUAUCUUAUUGGGUAGAGAAACGGCAAGCGGCUGAGGAGCAUUUCCCGCAGGUGGUGGUUUGGGGCAACGAGGUUGUGAAUGGAAUUGAUAAGAAGGAUGAGUACCUAGCCAACCUUUCCUAGCAACAAUUGGAUGUGCCUAUGGAAGAGCUGACACCUAAUUCAGAGCUGUCUCUUUAUUUGCUCAUGGAUGGGGUUGGGUGAAGGAAAGGCAAGGAGGUUUGCGGCCUAGGAAUAGGUCGGAUUCAGGAAGUCAGAAGGUUUUCAUCUUCAGCUAGCUCUAAUCUAUCGACCGAGAUUGAUUCCAGACUUAAGCAAUUGUAGACAGAGUUGGCAUGCCAAAGGGAAAAAGGUGAGCGCUUGACACAUGCUGUUGUAAAAGAUCGAGAAUUA